UGGAAGACGAGGAAGCACGCCCGAAGCAAGAAGACCCUUGUGCCUGCAUUACACAAGAGCCAGGCCAUCAAGCUGCAACAGGUGGCCUCUGGCAGGGCCAGACCAAAGUCCUGGACAGGGUGUUCGAGGCAGUCUGGCGUCUGCAAUGUUUGAGAAUACACUUUCGGCAGCUGGUCCCACGGCGGGUGCCUAUCUUGAAACCCAGUCAAAGAUGGAGAAAAUCAGGCACCAAGGACUUGGCCUUUGGCACAAGUGCACAGUGGAGCUGAUUUCACACCUGGAGUCUAGCAUUUAAUUAUGGCUUUCUGACAACGUACAAGGAGGAGGCUGCAGAAUAUGCUAAACUUUUGGCCAAGAGAAUGAAGGAAGCCAAAGAAAAGCACCAGGAACAGAUUGCCAAGAGGCGAAGGCUGUCCUCGCUGAGAGCUUCUACUUCUAAGUCUGAGUCCAGUCAAAAAUAAGUCUGUAAGGGUAACAAAUAAAUGAUCAGACCUUGAAAAAAA